UACAGAGGGGGCAAGCGUUGUUCGGAAUUACUGGGCGUAAAGGGCGCGUAGGCGGCCUUCUAAGUCGAACGUGAAAUCCCCGGGCUCAACCCGGGAACUGCGUCCGAUACUGGAAGGCUUGAAUCCGGGAGAGGGAUGUGGAAUUCCAGGUGUAGCGGUGAAACGCGUAGAUAUCUGGAGGAACACCGGUGGCGAAGGCGACAUCCUGGACCGGUAUUGGCGCUGAGGCGCGAAAGCCAGGGGAGCAAACGGG
rnacentral:rRNA from 1 species